UACGUAGGUGGCAAGCGUUGUCCGGAAUUACUGGGUGUAAAGGGAGCGCAGGCGGGAAGCCAAGUCAGCUGUGAAAACUACGGGCUUAACUUGUAGACUGCAGUUGAAACUGGUUUUCUUGAGUGAAGUAGAGGUUGGCGGAAUUCCGAGUGUAGCGGUGGAAUGCGUAGAUAUUCGGAGGAACACCGGUGGCGAAGGCGGCCAACUGGGCUUUAACUGACGCUGAGGCUCGAAAGUGUGGGGAGCAAACAGG
rnacentral:rRNA from 1 species